rnacentral:rRNA from 1 species
UACGAAGGGUGCUAGCGUUGCUCGGAAUUACUGGGCGUAAAGCGUACGCAGGCGGGCUUUUAAGUCAGAUGUGAAAUCCCGAGGCUUAACCUCGGAACUGCAUUUGAAACUGGAAGCCUAGAGUAUGGGAGAGGAUAGUGGAAUUCCUAGUGUAGAGGUGAAAUUCGUAGAUAUUAGGAGGAACACCAGUGGCGAAGGCGACUAUCUGGACCAUAACUGACGCUCAUGUACGAAAGCGUGGGGAGCAAACAGG